AACGGAAGGGGCCAAUCUGCGCGCCCUGCGCGUGUUGAUGAAGGCCUUCGGGUUGUAAAGUACUUUCGUCGGGGAGGAAGGUGUUGUGGUUAAUAACCCUGGCACUUGACGUUACCCUCAGAAGAAGCCCCGGCUAACUCCGUGCCAGCAGCCGCGGUAAUAAGGGAGCCAGCAGCCGC
rnacentral:rRNA from 1 species